GAUGAAGGUACGAUCUAA
rnacentral:miRNA from 1 species